rnacentral:rRNA from 1 species
AGGGCGCACGGUGGAUGCCUUGGUACUAGGAGCCGAAGAAGGACGGAACUAACACCGAUAUGCUUUGGGGAGCUGUAAGUAAGCUAAGAUCCAAAGAUUUCCGAAUGGGGGAACCCAACACCUUUCAUAGGGUGUUACCAAUGAGUGAAUACAUAGCUCAUUAGGAGGUACACGCAGGGAACUGAAACAUCUCAUUACCUGCAGGAAGAGAAAGAAAAAUCGAUUCCCUGAGUAGCGGCGAGCGAAACGGGAGGAGCCCAAACCAACGAGCUUGCUUGUUGGGGUUGUAGGACUAGAACGUGAGAAGAAAUCAAGAUAGCAGAAGUGGUCUGGAAAGGCCCAUCAAAGAAGGUGACAAUCCUGUACGCGACAUCUUGAUGAACUCUACUAGCAUCCUGAGUACGGCGGGACACGAGGAAUCCCGUCGGAAUCCGCCAGGACCAUCUGGCAAGGCUAAAUACUACCUAGUGACCGAUAGUGAACCAGUACCGUGAGGGAAAGGUGAAAAGAACCCCGGGAGGGGAGUGAAAGAGUACCUGAAACCGUGUGCUUACAAGUAGUCAGAGCCCGUUAAUGGGUGAUGGCGUGCCUUUUGUAGAAUGAACCGGCGAGUUACGUUUACAUGCGAGGUUAAGAUGAAGAGUCGGAGCCGUAGCGAAAGCGAGUCUGAAUAGGGCGCAUGUAGUAUGUGGACGUAGACCCGAAACCAAGUGAUCUACCCAUGUCCAGGUUGAAGGUGCGGUAAAACGCACUGGAGGACCGAACCAGGGCACGUUGAAAAGUGCUUGGAUGAGGUGUGGGUAGCGGAGAAAUUCCAAUCGAACUUGGAGAUAGCUGGUUCUCUCCGAAAUAGCUUUAGGGCUAGCCUCGGAAUCAAGAAUCGUGGAGGUAGAGCACUGUUUGGACUAGGGGCCCAUCUCGGGUUACCGAAUUCAGAUAAACUCCGAAUGCCAUGUAUUUAUAUCCGGGAGUCAGACUGCGAGUGAUAAGAUCCGUAGUCGAAAGGGAAACAGCCCAGACCACCAGCUAAGGUCCCAAAAUAAUUGUUAAGUGGAAAAGGAUGUGGGGUUGCACAGACAACUAGGAUGUUAGCUUAGAAGCAGCUAUUCAUUCAAAGAGUGCGUAAUAGCUCACUAGUCGAGUGACCCUGCGCCGAAAAUGUAACGGGGCUAAACAGAUUACCGAAGCUGUGGAUUGGACCUUAUGGUCCAGUGGUAGGAGAGCGUUCUAAGGGCUGUGAAGCAUGACCGUAAGGACAUGUGGAGCGCUUAGAAGUGAGAAUGCCGGUAUGAGUAGCGAAAGACGGGUGAGAAUCCCGUCCACCGAAUAACUAAGGUUUCCUGGGGAAGGCUCGUCCUCCCAGGGUUAGUCGGGACCUAAGGCGAGGCCGAUAGGCGUAGUCGAUGGACAACAGGUUGAUAUUCCUGUACUUCUAUAAAUCGUUUGAGCAAUGGAGGGACGCAGGAGGCUAAGAAAAGCGUACGACUGGAAGUGUACGUCCAAGCAGUGAGUCGGCUGAUGAGUCAAAUGCUUAUCACGGAUGCGACAAGCUGUGACGGGGAGGGAAGUUUAGUACCGAAGUUUCUGAUGUCACACUGCCGAGAAAAGCUUCUAGCAAGAUUUAUAGGACCCGUACCGCAAACCGACACAGGUAGUUGAGGAGAGAAUCCUAAGGUGAGCGAGCGAACUCUCGUUAAGGAACUCGGCAAAAUGACCCCGUAACUUCGGGAGAAGGGGUGCUGGUAGCAAUACCAGCCGCAGUGAAUAGGCCCAGGCGACUGUUUAUCAAAAACACAGGUCUCUGCAAAAUCGAAAGAUGACGUAUAGGGGCUGACGCCUGCCCGGUGCUGGAAGGUUAAGAGGAGAGGUUAGCGCAAGCGAAGCUUUGAAUUGAAGCCCCAGUAAACGGCGGCCGUAACUAUAACGGUCCUAAGGUAGCGAAAUUCCUUGUCGGGUAAGUUCCGACCCGCACGAAAGGCGUAAUGAUUUGGGCACUGUCUCAACGAGAGACUCGGUGAAAUUAUAGUACCUGUGAAGAUGCAGGUUACCCGCGACAGGACGGAAAGACCCCAUGGAGCUUUACUGUAGUUUGAUAUUGAGUGUUUGUGUCACAUGUACAGGAUAGGUAGGAGCUGAAGAAUCCGGGACGCCAGUUUCGGAGGAGGCAACGGUGGGAUACUACCCUUGUGACAUGACCACUCUAACCCGCACCCCUUACCGGGGUGGGAGACAGUGUCAGACGGGCAGUUUGACUGGGGCGGUCGCCUCCUAAAAUGUAACGGAGGCGCCCAAAGGUUCCCUCAGAAUGGUUGGAAAUCAUUCGUAGAGUGUAAAGGCAGAAGGGAGCUUGACUGCGAGACCUACAAGUCGAGCAGGGACGAAAGUCGGGCUUAGUGAUCCGGUGGUUCCGUAUGGAAGGGCCAUCGCUCAACGGAUAAAAGCUACCCUGGGGAUAACAGGCUUAUCUCCCCCAAGAGUCCACAUCGACGGGGAGGUUUGGCACCUCGAUGUCGGCUCAUCGCAUCCUGGGGCUGAAGUCGGUCCCAAGGGUUGGGCUGUUCGCCCAUUAAAGCGGUACGCGAGCUGGGUUCAGAACGUCGUGAGACAGUUCGGUCCCUAUCCGUCGCGGGCGUUGGAAAUUUGAGAGGAGCUGUCCUUAGUACGAGAGGACCGGGAUGGACACACCGCUGGUGUACCAGUUGUUCUGCCAAGAGCAUCGCUGGGUAGCUAUGUGUGGACGGGAUAAACGCUGAAAGCAUCUAAGCGUGAAGCCCCCCUCGAGAUGAGAUUUCCCAUCAUUUU